rnacentral:lncRNA from 1 species
CUAAUAGUAGUGUACUUGACAACUGGUGAGAAAAUCUCGUUAUAAUCAACACCUUCUUUCUGUGUGUAACCCUUUGCUACUAACCUAGCCUUAAACCUUAAGGGUUCUGAACUACUAGUACCUUCUUUAACCUUAAAGACCCACUUGCAAUCGACGAUUGAUUUAUUCUUAGGUCUCGGUACUAACUCCCAAGUUUGAUUCUUUUCUAGAGAACUCAUCUCUUCUUUCAUAGCCUCAAGCCACUCCUUAGAUUGACCACUGUUCAUAGCCUCUUCAAACGUUUCUGGCUCCCUAUCAACUAGUUCUUCGUAACUAGCGUAUGC